GUCAGCUCUGGACACAAGAAUAGGAAGACAGCAAGCCUGCACGUCUGGAGUUCUUUCUGUCAACUUUUUAUAAAAUAGCGGGGCUGUGAGCACAUGUGGAGAGCAGCCACCCGUGACCGAUCGGGGCCUCGCGCACAGAGACACAGAUGGGGAGGAAAGGGGCUAUUGUACCAAACACCUGUCCAGCAAUCUGGACUCGAAAAAUAGAAAAGUGUUCUAGCAGCCGAAAGGAACAGUGGACACACCCGGGUUGUGGACGCGGCACAGCAGCCUCUAUAGAGAAAGCUCUGAAUCCCAGAGCUGCCCCAGAGGAAACAAAACAAAACAAAACUGUGGAAUCAAGACAGUUACAUGCUACUGGGAGAGAGAAGAAUGGAGUGUGUACUGUGCCAUGAUGUCCAGAUUAAGAACAAGAAUCACCCUCCACAAGUGGCUUGGCUCCAUAUGAUUCACACAGCUCUGUUUUAAGACAAAAAUGACACAGGAGAGUGCUUCAGACAGAAGACCAGAUGGAGGCCCUGUCCAAACCACCACUGGGCUAGGAACAGGGAAAAAUGCCCAUGCU